AGUGAACGCUGGCGGUAGGCCUAACACAUGCAAGUCGAACGGCAGCACAGUAAGAGCUUGCUCUUACGGGUGGCGAGUGGCGGACGGGUGAGGAAUACAUCGGAAUCUACUUUUUCGUGGGGGAUAACGUAGGGAAACUUACGCUAAUACCGCAUACGACCUACGGGUGAAAGCAGGGGAUCUUCGGACCUUGCGCGAUUGAAUGAGCCGAUGUCGGGUUAGCUAGUUGGCGGGGUAAAGGCCCACCAAGGCGACGAUCCGUAGCUGGUCUGAGAGGAUGAUCAGCCACACUGGACCUGAGACACGGUCCAGACUCCUACGGGCGGCAGCAGUGGGGAAUAUUGGACAAUGGGCGCAAGCCUGAUCCAGCCAUACCGCGUGGGUGAAGAAGGCCUUCGGGUUGUAAAGCCCUUUUGUUGGGAAAGAAAAGCAGCAGGUUAAUACCCCGCUGUUCUGACGGUACCCAAAGAAUAAGCACCGGCUAACUUCG
rnacentral:rRNA from 1 species